rnacentral:rRNA from 1 species
UCGGGAAUAUUGCGCAAUGGAGGAAACUCUGACGCAGUGACGCCGCGUAUAGGAAGAAGGUUUUCGGAUUGUAAACUAUUGUCGAUAGGGAAGAACCAAGACAGUACCUAUCAAGAAAGCUCCGGCUAACUACGUGCCAGCAGCCGCGGUAAUACGUAGGGAGCAAGCGUUAUCCGGAUUUAUUGGGUGUAAAGGGUGCGUAGACGGGAAAUUAAGUUAGUUGUGAAAUCCCUCGGCUCAACUGAGGAACUGCAACUAAAACUGAUUUUCUUGAGUGCAGGAGAGGAAAGUGGAAUUCCUAGUGUAGCGGUGAAAUGCGUAGAUAUUAGGAGGAACACCAGUGGCGAAGGCGACUUUCUGGACUGUAACUGACGUUGAGGCACGAAAGUGUGGGGAGCAAACAGG